rnacentral:rRNA from 1 species
CAGGAUCGAACGACUGGCCGGCGGUAGCCUAACACAAUGCAAAGUCGAACCGAAGCAUCCCACCCGCGGACAGAACCAGCUUGGCUGGGGAAGGAAGCAUAUGGGGUGACUGAGUGGCGGACGGGUGAGUAACGCGUGGGUAACCUGCCCCAUAGAGGGGGACAACAGCUGGAAACGGCUGCUAAUACCGCAUGGGGAAAGCGGGACCGCAUGGUCCUGUUUUGAAAGAUUUAUCGCUAUGGGAUGGACCCGCGUCUGAUUAGCUGGUUGGUAAGGUAACGGCUUACCAAGGCGACGAUCAGUAGCCGGCUCGAGAGAGUGAACGGCCACAUUGGGACUGAGACACGGCCCAGACUCCUACGGGAGGCAGCAGUGGGGAAUAUUGCACAAUGGGGGGAACCCUGAUGCAGCGACGCCGCGUGAGUGAAGAAGUAUUUCGGUAUGUAAAGCUCUAUCAGCAGGGAAGAUAAUGACGGUACCUGACUAAGAAGCCCCGGCUAACUACGUG